rnacentral:rRNA from 2 species
UUAAAUUGAAGAGUUUGAUCAUGGCUCAGAUUGAACGCUGGCGGCAGGCCUAACACAUGCAAGUCGAACGGUAACAGGAAGAAGCUUGCUUCUUUGCUGACGAGUGGCGGACGGGUGAGUAAUGUCUGGGAAACUGCCUGAUGGAGGGGGAUAACUACUGGAAACGGUAGCUAAUACCGCAUAACGUCGCAAGACCAAAGAGGGGGACCUUCGGGCCUCUU